rnacentral:pre_miRNA from 1 species
GAAGUACUCCCUCCGUCCCAAAAUUAUUGUCUUAGAUUUGUCUACAUACGAAUGUAUCAAGUCAUGUUUUAGUAUUAGAUACAUUCAUAUCUAGACAAAUCUAAGACAACAAUUUUGGGAUGGAGGGAGUACCAG